GAGGUUGAACGGCCACAUUGGGACUGAGACACGGCCCAGACUCCUACGGGAGGCAGCAGUGGGGAAUAUUGCACAAUGGGGGAAACCCUGAUGCAGCGACGCCGCGUGGAGGAAGAAGGUCUUCGGAUUGUAAACUCCUCUAGCGAGGAAGAUAAUGACGGUACUCAACAAGGAAGUGACGGCUAACUACGUGCCAGCAGC
rnacentral:rRNA from 1 species